AUACUUACCUGGAUGGGAUCAAUGGGCGAUCAAUAAGGCCCAUGGUCUAGGUUGGUGACCUUCAUUGCACUCAAGAGGGGUGCCCGCCUAAGGUCUACUCAAAUAGUGGAACCUACAUCAUAAUUUGUGAUAGUGGGGGCCUGUAUUCGCAUGGCUCCUG